rnacentral:rRNA from 1 species
UAUGGCUGUCGUCAGCUCGUGUCGUGAGAUGUUGGGUUAAGUCCCGAAACGAGCGCAACCCCUAUCCCAUGUUACAAGUGUCUUGGGAAACUGCCUCGGUAAAACGGGGAGGAAGGUGGGGAUGACGUCUGGUCCGCAUAGCCCUUAUGUCCUGGGCGACACACGCGCUACAAUGGUCGGUACAAUAGGCAGCCAAGCCGUAAGGCGGAGCUAAUCCUAAAAGCCGAUCUCAGUUCGGAUCGAGGUCUGAAACUCGACCUCGUGAAGUUGGAUUCGCUAGUAAUCGUGGAUCAGCCAUGCCACGGUGAAUACGUUCUCGGGUCUUGUACACACCGCCCGUA